rnacentral:rRNA from 1 species
CGUAGGGUGCGAGCGUUAAUCGGAAUUACUGGGCGUAAAGCGUGCGCAGGCGGCUUAGCAAGUCGGGCGUGAAAGCCCUCGGCUCAACCGAGGAAGUGCACCCGGAACUGCUGAGCUUGAGUGCCGGAGAGGAUGGCGGAAUUCCCCAAGUAGAGGUGAAAUUCGUAGAUAUGGGGAGGAACACCGGUGGCGAAGGCGGCCAUCUGGACGGUAACUGACGCUGAGACGCGAAAGCGUGGGGAGCAAACAGGAUUAGAUACCCUGGUAGUCCACGCCGUAAACGAUGAGAACUAGAUGUCGCGGGUGUUGACCCCUGCGGUGUCGCAGCUAACGCAUUAAGUUCUCCGCCUGGGAAGUACGGUCGCAAGAUUA